UUAAUGGAUUCCCAACAGAAA
rnacentral:piRNA from 1 species